rnacentral:lncRNA from 1 species
ACUAUUUAAACACUAAUAAUGUGUGUGUUUUAUUUUAUGUGGGACCUCCACGCUUUAUUUUUUUCAAUUCACACAACACUGGAUCAAAGUUUAAUAAAUUGGUGUUUAAUCUUCCAACCUUCCAAUUUCUUUCCAUCUUCACACCAAUGUUCCAACAUAAACGGUGUUGUGUGUUUCGUUUCCCUAAUGAUGUGUCGCAUGCGUAACAAAGUUUUAUAGUUGUAUCGGCUGUUUGUCACAUUCAUAACAGACGUUUCAGUAUAAUUUUUCAUUUCACUCUAAAAACAUGUAAAAACGAUAUCAGUAGUCACCUAUA